AUCCCAAUGAAGAUUCUUAGACCAGGACGUGCCGUAUGACACAGUAAACAACAGCUGUUACUCACCACUGCAUGUGUCCUCCUUUGGCUAUAACCUUUGUGGUUUGGUCAGGGCUGGAAUAUCCAUUUGCACCUGGUUUGGUUCAUCUGUGUGCAUGAUUUUAAAUGGGUCUCUGAGGGAU
rfam:Triticum aestivum genome assembly, contig: Triticum_aestivum_CS42_TGACv1_scaffold_001135_1AL